rnacentral:lncRNA from 1 species
AGACCCCCAGCUCACAGCCACAUCUCUCCUGGCAGAAGUGGCCUGAUGUGGCCACCCCCGCCCCAGGCCUUGGUUCAUGGUCGGGAUCAACCGCAGGCUCUGCCGUGGGAUGUCCACACCCUCAGGACCCGCCGGGUGCCCUGUGCUGCCCACAGAGGAGAGACAAGGCCAACAAGCAUCACUGAGCACUUUCUCUGGACUCAGUCCUGUGCUAGGUACAGGGAUGCCAUUGUGCACAAGUCAGAAACAGCCGCGGCCCCAGCAGAGCCUGCAGUCUGGGUAGGGAGAUACUUGCUGAUCUAAGAAUCAGAGCAGUGGAUAUCUGACUGCAAAUUGAGACUGCCUGUGAAGGAUGAAUCAGGGAAGGCUUCCUGGAGGAGGUGGCCUCCCAGAGCUCAGCUUGUCCUUCCUUGAGGUCCUUUCCAUUCCCAGUCCCCCUCUGGUCACUCACUUGGCAGGUGCUGUACCUGCUCCCCUGCACGCUGCUGGGAUAACGGGAAAAUGAUGAAUGAGGCCCCAUCAUGCCCUGCUUCCCGGCCCUCAAGCCCAUUCCCAUCCAUGACAAAUUGUCCCUCUACCUCCACAGGGUCUUUUCAGCAGCCUCGCCUGGGAAGCCUUGGCAGCACUUGGUGGAGAUUUAUGCCCAUCUUCCCCAGAUUCUUCUUUGUUUUUCUGCUUCUUUAUUCCCUCAAAAUAUGCUUUUAUUU